UCCUGGCUCAGGAUGAACGCUGGCGGCGUGCCUAACACAUGCAAGUCGAACGAAGCACUUUAUUACGAUUUCUUCGGAAUGACGAUUUGGUGACUGAGUGGCGGACGGGUGAGUAACGCGUGGAUAACCUGCCCCAUACAGGGGGAUAACAGUUAGAAAUGACUGCUAAUACCGCAUAAGCGCACAGUAUCGCAUGAUACGGUGUGAAAAACUCCGGUGGUAUGGGAUGGAUCCGCGUCUGAUUAGCCAGUUGGCGGGGUAGAGGCCCACCAAAGCGACGAUCAGUAGCCGACCUGAGAGGGUGACCGGCCACAUUGGGACUGAGACACGGCCCAAACUCCUACGGGAGGCAGCAGUGGGGAAUAUUGCACAAUGGGGGAAACCCUGAUGCAGCGACGCCGCGUGAGCGAAGAAGUAUUUCGGUAUGUAAAGCUCUAUCAGCAGGGAAGAAGAAUGACGGUACCUGACUAAGAAGCUCCGGCUAAAUACGUGCCAGCAGCCGCGGUAA
rnacentral:rRNA from 1 species